CCUGGACCAGGGACGACGGCUUGUCUCGGCUCGCUUUCCCCGGGCUUGCCCGCUGCCUCCGGAUAAAUCCAGGCCCCAGUGACCUUCCUCCCUUCCCGCUCUGCCUGACUGUGGCAGGGCCGGCCGCGUGCGACUCUGAGCCAGAGGGAGGAGCGGGAAGUUACUCGUGUUGCCCAGUUUGAUCGCUCUGGGGUGGAGCCGACGCCAUUUUUGUGGGGCCUCCUGUGGGAGAAUGUGGGCUUUUGCCCCUGAUUCGCGCCGGGCUGAAGGCGGUGCGCUAGGGACCUGCAGGGACACCGUCGCCAGACCUUCCGGGCGUCCUAGAUGGUUUCCUUUGGUUUUACCGGGCUCAUGGACUUAACCCCUGGGAGUAGUUCUGAACUUUAAAAGGGUCGUGUCUUCUUUCGUGCCCAUCUAGCAGUCCUGUAUGGGCAGUCAGUGUUCAGUGUUCAGUAUUGUUGAGGCUGUUCCUUGAUUCCUUAUAAACAGAAAUUCUUAGCCAUCCUCAAAUGAGGAAAGAGGGCAUGCUUUGGCCUAUUCACGAAGAGUCUUUGGGAUGAGCGUGGUCACUAGGUUCAUAUAACAAGGAUGUUAAGGACCACCUUUGUGAAAAGAAGGUAAAUUGAGGGGUGUUUUGUUUUUUCAGAAAGGAUGGCAUCGAACUCACUAUGCAGCCCAUGCUGUCCUGGAACUCACAGUGAUCCUCUUGUCUCAGCCUCCCAAGUGCUAGGAUUACAGACAUCCACCACCACACCAGUUGUAAAUUGAGUUGUGAAUGGAAAUUUCAACAUGUAUGGUGCUCUCUUACACCAAGUUUGAAAAAAAUCACAGUUCUCUGUCCAUUCUCCUUACUUCUUUUAU